rnacentral:rRNA from 1 species
UUUGACCUCAGAUCAGGCAAGACUACCCGCUGAAUUUAAGCAUAUUAAUAAGCGGAGGAAAAGAAACUAACAAGGAUUCCCUCAGUAACGGCGAGUGAAGUGGGAAUGGCUCAAGCUUGAAAUCUCUGUUGCUUGCAACAGCGAAUUGUAGUCUCGAGAAGCGUUUUCCCGGCGGAUCUAUCCUGCCUAAGUUGCUUGGAACAGCACAUCAGAGAGGGUGACAAUCCCGUUCGUGGCAGGGCAGACCGUUCAUGAUACGCUUUCUAU